UGAUUUUUGUUCUCAGAGCCAGAGGUCUGUCCCUGCGAAAAGAGAGUCGGUCUCAGAGGUCUCUCCCAUCUCUCUCACUCUAAGACAAUUCCAAUUUCUGAUCUUCGAGAUUAAUGGAGGCGCAGAUCGACAUCGUAAGGUCUUCCGCAAAAGCAUCCAGGGCAUAAGGCCGGUGACGGCUCGGUUCUCAAGGUCGGCAAGGAGAAGGAGAUCGGAAAGCAGGGAUUGAAGAAGGAACUCCUCACUAUAUCCCAAGCUUAAGUACAUUACACCGGGACGGGACAUAGUUCGAUUCGAGCGGCAAUAGGGGGACAUCGUUCAGUUCAGUCGGACAAGUUAAGAAGAAGGGAAAGAGAUGAAGAAGAAAGCUCUGGAAUGGAAGAGGUUAAGCAGAAUGUAGCCCUUGCUUUAAGUUGUAUAGUUUUGACCUCUCUUCCAUCUGUUUUAGGUUUUCUUCCCCUCUAGUUAACAGUAUGAGAUUUUUCGUAUGUUCUGAAUUUCUGAUUGAUCUUUGCAGCUUUUAAACUUUUUC